UAUAAAAAAUAUAUUUAUUUAUUAAAAAUUUUACGUGAUUUUGGAUUUACAGUUUUAUUUUUGAGUUUUACAUGUUUCGCCCUGAGGGCAUAUUCAGAAAACUUCUGUUUCUGAAGAGUCUGAAGAGCCGGAGGCGCUCUGGUCGAUCGCUCACUGCUUCGGUCUGUCUAUAGCUCCCGGCCCAUUUCAUUGCUCAGGUCUGUAAUGAAAUGAAAUUCAAUGCAAAAAAUGCAGUCGAUGCGAGCUGCGACUUGAUGCUGACCAAGUACAUUCAAUCUCAUCAGCCAUUUGUUGUUCAAGCAGUUGUCGUCCAGGAUUUUGAAAAAUAUUUCGCAAUCAUCGUUUUAUCCUUGGGAAAAGUUAUGCGUAUUUUAACCAAUGAGGUGGAAAAUGCUACGGUGGACGUUGAGACUGACGAAGGCCCGAACAAUAUAAAAAUGAUUAAACUGCUGAUGCAUUUCAUAGAAGAGGGACAACAGCCAUGCACCCAGCUCAUUGAAGGUAGAUAUAAUAUUUGUAAUUUGAAAUAACAUUCAUGCCUCGUGUAUAUCGAGAAGUUGAUGAAUCUGUGGAAUAGUAGAAGAGAAAAGAUGCCUCUAGGGGGAAACGUUAAACAAGGUAUUAUACACAUAUUUGUAUUAUAGCUUUAAGUUUACGUAUAAUAUAGAAUAAAUAUUUAUCGGAAUGACCCAAAGAUCAAA